UACAGAGGUCUCAAGCGUUGUUCGGAUUCAUUGGGCGUAAAGGGUGCGUAGGUGGUGCCGUAAGUCGGAUGUGAAAUCUCGGGGCUCAACCCCGAAACUGCAUUCGAUACUGCGGUGCUCGAGGACUGGAGAGGAGACUGGAAUUCACGGUGUAGCAGUGAAAUGCGUAGAUAUCGUGAGGAAGACCAGUGGCGAAAGCGGGUCUCUGGACAGUUCCUGACACUGAUGCACGAAGGCCAGGGGAGCAAACGGG
rnacentral:rRNA from 1 species